ensembl:ncRNA C40C9.12 ncRNA
GUAAAUUUCAGAAAUCAAUUUUUUUCGAACCAUUUGAAUUAAACUUCAAAAAAUGAAAUAAAAACACUUCGUAAUUCGAGUAUCCCCCAAGGAUUGUUAGUGUUCGGAUUGUGGUUUCGAAUAGAUGAAGAGAUAAAAAUGUUACCAAUU